GGGAGCAAAGAGGAGAGAAAACAGUGCUGCUCUUGCCAGUUCCAUGAGCUCCAAGGAAAAGAAACAGAAACAAGUAACAUGAGCAAGAACAUCAAAAUGGGGCUGAGAGCAGGGUGGGGAGCUCGGCGCCCGUGAGGCAGACUUUAGAAAGAAGCUGUUCCCAGAUGGUUGCCAGGAGAUCGCUGUGUUGUGCCAGUGUCAUCUGUGAACUGAAAGGCGGGGAGCUUUACCCUUGGAAGGGUGGAAACAAGAUCUCAACAAUGGUGGAGACAAGACAAGAAGGACCACGUGGGAUAUCCUUAUUGUUAAUUGAUGUAGAAAGACCCAGGCCACUGUGAGCAGUGCCAUUCCCUGGGAAGAUGAUCCUGGGAGUCUGAGUCUCUGAGUGAGUCAGCAAGCGUCGCUCCUCUACAGCUCCUGCAUUGAGUUCCUGCCCUGACUUCCUUCAAUGUUGACCCAUGACCUUUAAGUGUAAACUGAAAUAAACUGGAUCUUCCUCUAA